AACCCAUGAUUUGGGCAUUUUCUAAGCUUCAUUUUGAAUCUCUCCCAUGUCUCACAAAAAUAUUCACAUGCUCCUUUUCUGAACAUAGAAAUUUUAGACUUUGCUU
rnacentral:snoRNA from 1 species